CAUGUAGGCGGUUGUUUAAGUCUGAUGUGAAAGCCCUGGGCUCAACCCAGGAAGUGCAUUGGAUACUGGACAACUUGAGUACGGGAGAGGAAAGUGGAAUUUCGAGUGUAGGGGUGAAAUCCGUAGAUAUUCGAAGGAACACCAGUGGCGAAGGCGGCUUUCUGGACCGAUACUGACGCUGAGAUGCGAAAGCGUGGGUAGCGAACA
rnacentral:rRNA from 1 species